rnacentral:rRNA from 1 species
GUCGAGCGGAUGAAGGGAGCUUGCUUCCCGAUUCAGCGGCGGACGGGUGAGUAAUGCCUAGGAAUCUGCCUGGUAGUGGGGGACAACGUCUCGAAAGGGACGCUAAUACCGCAUACGUCCUACGGGAGAAAGCAGGGGACCUUCGGGCCUUGCGCUAUCAGAUGAGCCUAGGUCGGAUUAGCUAGUUGGUGAGGUAAUGGCUCACCAAGGCGACGAUCCGUAACUGGUCUGAGAGGAUGAUCAGCCACACUGGAACUGAGACACGGUCCAGACUCCUACGGGAGGCAGCA